ensembl:lncRNA
GGCCCAUGUACACAUGCACUCAUGCACUGAGGUCAGUUGUCUGCGCCAAAGGGGAACCAACUGAUUAAAAGACUGCUUGCAACAUGGCUGUUUUCGACCAGCAGGCUCUUCCAGUACACGCAACAGGCUCCUGGCUUAUAAUCCCCAGGAGUGGCCAAGCAACCUCAGCCUCCUGUGAAAAUUGCCAGCUGACUUGGAUUUGAGUGAUAGGGCGAUUCAGAGACUCAACAAAACAGGCUCCUGCUUCAGGGCUCGCAAAAAGUGGUCAAGCAGCUUUAGCCUCCUGUGGAAAUUGCCUUGUGCAUCUGCCAACUUAGCGAUUUGAGUAACAGGACGAUAGAAUCCAACUCUCUACAGGCUUUGCCAGAUCUCGUCUACCAGCUGAGAGGAUUUGGCAGAAGG